AGCGAACCGGGAAGAGCCCAGCUUGAAAAU
rnacentral:snRNA from 1 species